AAAAAAAAGUCGAAGCUUUUAGAAGGUCAAAACCAAGUAAACUAUAAUUUUACAAUAUCUACUGAUCUUAAUGAGAGCCAGAACAAGCAAAAUUUAGACCACAUUAUAGGCUGAUAUAUAAUAGUCCAAGACCAAUGGCAAAUAAGAGAGAGACGGGUCAUAGAUUUCAUUUUCAUGCUUCCAUAAAAGAAAUCCCACUUAGGAUUCCAUUUUCCAUGCGAGCGUCGAGUGACGACAAUGGGUCUUCGGAUCAUAGGCACCAUGUCUCCUUCUUUGAACUAUCUGGACCUGCUUAUCGAAAGCCUGAGCUAUGUGUGAAUGGUAGAUCGAUUCCAUGAGAAAUUUACAGGCCUUUUACACAAGCAAAAAAAAAUCCAAUCUUAUCAUGCAAGUAGAUGUUCUAUAAAUCCAACCCUAGAUAGUUGGAAAAAAGUUGGAAGAUCAUGGUUGCAGCUAUCAGGCAACUAGGUGAUCCAUUAACCAAUUACAUGAAACUUAACUCGAAUCCCUAUGAUAACCGAGCAUAAGUAUACAACCUUUCCUAAUUCAAGCACUAAGUGCCAAUGAACCUACAGAACAAGCAACCAUCCAACCACAUAACGAGAAUGCUGAUAUUGUUAUCUGCAUUUUAAAAUAGCUUUUGAAUUCUGAAAGCACCAAGUAAGAACUAUCCGUAGUUGUCAAAAAGCCUCAGCAACCCUAGGCGAUGGACCAUCCUAUAGCCUAGGCGACUGCCCAGACAAAAAAAAAGGCACAAAAUUUAUAGAAUAACCUAUAUGUAUUUCAAUUAUUAAUUAAACCUUCACUUCUCAAUAAACUAUCUAUACAACAUGAUUCAAAAAUACAAUGGUAAUAAUUAAGGUAUGAUUUCUAUUUAGGACAUAAUACUCAAAGACCAUCACAAUUUUAUUCUUUUGAUCUAAAAUUAUAGAAGACAAGCAUAUAAAGCCACCGCUGUUUUAGCAACAUAGAGUAAUAAUAUUAAUUAUACAUGAUGUUACUACUCCAUCAAUAGUAGUAACACUAGUACGUUACCACUUACCACUAUGAUUACAGCAGUAACACUGGCAUGUCACCACAGUAUACAAAAUUACGAAAACAAAGCAUAACACAAGC
rnacentral:lncRNA from 1 species